CUGGUGUAUUAGUUGCUCGACGUUGCUUGCCUUCGCAGUCGGCGAGUCUUUGGCGUUUGCGUCUUCGCUCGUUUCCUCCUCACCACCACCUCUUUGCCGUGCAGGCCCGCCGCAAGCGCACUGCCUCUCACAUCCUCACCUGCGCGUGACUCACAUAAGCCCAGGUUCGCCUAUCGGCGCUCACCCAGCGACCGUUCGUGCCCCCUCCCUCCCAACACCUCGGCCAGGCACGCGUACGCGCAGGCGUAUUCUUGAGGGGCGCACACAGACAUCCCCUAACCGACGUGCACCCCCUCUUUUUUUGAGAGAAUGAUGUACUCCGCCGGUGCUAUGUACGCGGAGAUCUACCGAAAUCAGGCGGCCGCCGCGGCCGCCAAGCCGAGGGAGGAGCCGGCCCCUCCCCAAAACCUCCACCACACCUUUGAGGACCCCAAUCAGUUUCACCCGGCCCCCGCCCUGGGGUACGGCCAACAACCACCGGUACCACCAUCCUCGCAUCCACCGCAGCAGCAAGGUGCGCCUGCGGGCUGCCCCCCUAUGGGGGGCAGCGGUCCCUACGGCCAGCAGCCGGCGCAGCCGUCGUUUGUGUCCUCGUACAGCCAGGCAAAUCCGUAUGGGAACGUCUACGCCGCGUCGCCGCCGCAGCAGGGCUACUCCUCGUACGCACCUCUUCCCCCUCCGCAGCAUCAACAGCAGCAGUACAACGCGCCGCCUCAGUUUCCGCAGCAACAGUAUGGCAACUAUGCCCAGCCGCCUGCGGCGUAUGGCCAUCAGCCACAGAUGCAUCAGUCGCCGCCGCCGCUGCAGCCGUACGGCAUGCCCGGCUACCCGCAGCAGCUGAACCCGGACUUUAUUCGCGUGACUCAGGUGCAGCUGCGCAAGAGCAGCAACAAACCCGGGGCCCUCUACGACCACCCGAGCGUGCCGCGUAUGAUGCCGCAGGACAUCGAAGAGGACCUUCAGCAGCGCAUGCCUGCGCCGGUGCACAUCACGCCAACCCACCGCCUCUGCAUUCGACCAACGAUGGGCACUUUCCCGCAGACGCAGCAGCUCGCGGACUCCCUCGGCCUCCCACUCGGCAUCAAUUUUCGUCCCUUUGCCGAGCCACGGCUGAACGAGGUGGACCUGUCGGACAAGGGCAACGCCAUGAUCCGCUGCAAGGCCUGCGGCGCCUACAUCAACCCCUUCACCACCUUCACCGAAGCCAACGACGGCUCGCGGUGGCAGUGCAUCUUGUGCAAGCACAUAAACGUGACGCCGCGCGCCUACUUCAGCCACGUCGACCCGCAGACUGGCCAGCUUGAGGACAUCAUGAGCCGCCCGGAGCUGCUAAACUGCAGUGUCGACUUCUACGCGACGCCGGAGUUCCUGAAGCGUCCGCCGCGCCGGCCCGUCUUCCUGCUGAUGCUGGACUGCUCUUUCUCUGCUGUGGCCUCGGGCCUGUUGGAGGCGAUGUGCCGCGGGGCCCUGACGGCUCUGGACUCCAUGAAGGAUGACGACGCACUGUACAUGGGCAUCAUGGGCUACGACACCACUGUUUACUUCUUCAACUUGCGCUCCUCCCUGCGCGCGCCGCGCAUGAUGGCGUCCCCGGACACGGUCAAGGAUAUCGCCAACGUGAACGACGACUUCAAGCUCGAGAAGGUCGAGCUCCCGUGCCCGACGGGCGACUUGGUGGUGUCUGUGAAGGAGUCGUAUCACCUCCUCCGCAUGGCGCUCGAGUCCAUUCCAAACGUGUUUGCUCCCACAAAGGAGGUCGGCUGCGCAUUCGGCCCCUCCUUGGCGGCGGCUGUGACUAUGCUGGAUGCGAACGGCGGCAAAAUUCUUGCCAGCAUCACGAGCAUCCCAUCGGAGGGGGAUGGCAAGCUGAAGCACCGCUUCGAUGCGGCGAAGCUGUCGAAUCAGCCGAAGGAGUACACGAUGUGUGCGGCGGCCAACGACUGGUACAAACAACGCGCACUGGCGUGCUCAAACAGUGCCAUCUCGGUCGACCUCUUCGUCGGUGCAAACAAGGACGUGGACUUGACGACGAUCGCCCCGCUCUCGCGCUUCACCUCCGGCUCUAUCCAUCGCGCAACGGCCGUGACCAUGAGCGGCCUGGCGGAUCAGGUGCAGCGGUCCUUGCUGCGCUUCACCGCCUUCGACUGCACGCUGCGGGUGCGCACGUCAAAGGGGCUCAUUGUGCCGAACUUCUAUGGCCACUGCCACGUGCGGGUGCCAGAUCUGCUGGUGCUGCCCAUUGCCGACGAGGACUCUUCUUACUCGAUCGAAUUCAAGAUGGGCCCCAACUACGCCGCCAAGUUCGCAUACGUGCAGUUUGCUGUCGUCUACACGACGCGCUCGCGGGAGCGCCGCAUUCGCGUGCACACGGUCCAGAUCCCGGUGUCUUCCACCAUUGGACCGGUCAUCAACUCGAUCAACUCCCUCGGCAUGUCGUGCUUUCUCUCGAAGAUGUGCGUCGACAUGGCCGUCAACGGACCCUUCUCGCAGGCGCAGGAAAAGAUAACCGAGAAGCUGACCACCGCGUGGAAGGCGGCCCUGAAACAAAUGGCGGCUCAGGGAGUGCGGCCGGGUGCUGGUGAGCUGCUCAUCCCGGAGAGCAUGCGUUUCAUUCCGCAACUGCUUUGUGGCUUCUUCCGGUGCGCGGCGACUGGCCUCGCGACGGUGCGCCCGCUGCCGCCGGACGAGCGCGUUGCUUCCAUGUCCUCGGUGAUGUCGUGCCCCAUCGAGGCGAUGGUGCCAUGGUAUGUGACGUGGACCUACGUUGUGUACGCGCCGGAGGAGGACGUCGACCAGCUGCCGGCCUCCAUCUUUUCAUCCGAGCAGUGCGUGCACCGCGAGGGCGUCUACCUCAUCAACGUCGGUGCCGUCAUCGUCUUGUGGUUCGGCAAGCACGUUCACCCGACCAUCUGCCAGCUGUUCGGGGUGGACCCCGGCGAGAUGACACCGGAAAAGGCGGAGAAGCAGGAGCAGCUCAGCGUGUCGCCAGAGCAACUGGCGGCUCUGCGGCAACGUGUCGAAGACCUCAUCUGGACGCAUCGCCAAAUCAACCGUAGUGUCUUUACCGCCGUCAUGGAGCCGUGCGCGCAAGGAAACGCCACGUACGAGCCGAUGAUGAAGCGCGGCAUGGGGGAGGACAACACGCGCAACCUAAUCGCCUACGGGUCCUACCUGCGCAAGGUGUGGGACGCUGUGAGCGUCGGCAAGUAGACUCCUCCUCAAGCACACAUCAUUCACGAGAGGUAGAAAGUCGCAUAUGAAACGCCCCGCUGUGGAAGCCGGAGGCGCGCAGAGCCGAAGCGUAGGCGGUGCGAACCCGCCUUGUCAGACGGCAACUGCGGAUGGGCAGUAUGUCGUAGAGUGUUGGGUGCUGGCUAAAUCGGCGUGGUGUGUCGGAUGUGCCGAUUCUCCGUUUCUUCUCGCGAUGGGCGCAUGACGUUUGUAGCGCACCGGUUCGUGUACCGGACGUCGGGCACGCGCCCAGGAGUGAGCCUUCUCCCCCUCUCUCACGGGUGCGUGCGUGUUUGUCUGUGUGUGAUGGAUGCGCUCGGGCACAUCUUUUCCUUUCUUUUUAUAUAUACAUACGCAGGCGUCUUGCCCUCUCUUCUUUCUUGUAUAUGGGCUUGUCCUGUGCUCUGAUUGGGGUGAGGGAGGGGAGGCACUUGUGCUACGGCGUACAGGCCCACUGGCGGACACACAUGCACAACGCACACGCUUGCAUGCUCGAAACGAUCCAUCCCCACGGAGGCACCAGCUCUGCGACAGGAGGCUGCGGAGUAAAUGUAACGUUGCGAGAGCAAGACAGUACAUCCAGGUGUUGCAUGUGGGGCUUGCUCACGAGAGAUGCGGACUAGCGUCUGCCUCUGAGCGCCUACGCACUGUUACCGUGCGGUGGCACGUGGUAGCCGAGCGGAGCUGCGGCUGCGUAGCAUCUGUGAUAGCGCCGUUGUCUUCACCUGACAGUCCCAUCGGUGAUGGUGUGCGUACGUCUCGUGCAGGGCUUGCGCACUUGCGCACGCCACCUGUUUGUUCUCUCUCACGUGCAC
rnacentral:misc_RNA from 1 species